AAGCAGUGGACUUCAACUUGCGUGCUUUUGGGGACUUCUGAAAACUUCCAGGUGUGAAUCUGGACCCCUGCUUAGGCAACCGAAGCUGUAUGCGUAUGAUAAACCUCGCAGAGUUGACCCCUUACAUCCUGUGUUCCAUCUGCAAAGGUUACUUUAUUGAUGCUACAACUAUUACAGAAUGUCUGCACACCUUUUGUAAAAGCUGCAUAGUGAGACACUUCUACUAUAGCAACAGAUGUCCAAAAUGCAAUAUCGUUGUACAUCAAACACAGCCCCUUUAUAAUAUCAGACUGGACCGGCAACUGCAAGACAUAGUCUAUAAAUUAGUUGUCAAUUUGGAGGAAAGGGAGAAAAAACAAAUGCAUGACUUCUAUAAAGAAAGAGGAUUAGAAGUGCCCAAACCAGCUGUCCCACAGCCAGUUCCAGUGAGCAGAGGAAGACCUCGAAAAGUUCUGGGCUCUGUGUUCCGGAUCCCACCAGAACUUGACAUCUCCAUACUUCUGGAGUUCAUUGGAGCUAACGAAGGCACAGGGAAUUUUAAGCCUUUGGAAAAGAAGUUUGUGCGUGUUUCAGGGGAGGCAACAAUUGGACACGUGGAGAAAUUCCUCAGAAGAAAAAUGGAUCUGGACCCUACUUGUCAGGUGGACAUAAUAUGUGGUGAUCACUUGCUAGAACACUACCAGACACUGAGGGAAAUUCGUCAAGCCAUAGGAGAGAGUGCAGUACAGGACGGUUUACUUGUUCUGCACUAUGGCCUGGUAGUAUCUCCGCUAACUGUAACUUGAAGAUUGCUAGUAUAUCAGAAGGCAAAAGAAUCGGAGUCAUCAAGCUUCUUCACUGCUGUUUUUCACCAAAGAAGGCCAUCGUAUUUCCUGUGACAGGAAGCAAGUAAAAGGAACCACCUCGUACUGCUGUAUGCUUGUAAUUUAACGUCUGACUUUACCACUGUAAAAAAUUACAGUUUCUGGUAAAUCACAUGCCAGCUAAAAUGCAGAAGGCCAGGACUUCCUACUUCAUUCUUUCAGUGGCUUAAUGAGGAGGACUGAAGAUGCACUGCCUGUGAUAUUUUGUCACUUCUGGUCCUGAUGAUAGAAGACCUUCUGUAACAACACGCCGUCUAUGGGAUGGCAUCUCUGCCCUCAGGGGAGAUGAGCCAGCUUCGUGCUCUGGAAGUGAUGGAAGGGAGAUGGUCGAGCUGCCCACAUGAAUCUUCUAAUAUGCUGCAUGCUUAAUGGAGUGCACCAGGUGCCAGCCUGAGUGUUCAGGGAAACAUUAACAGUAGAAAAGCAAGUGGUGGGCACCUAGGAAAGAUUGAGAAAAACAGUGUGUUCCUGGGAGAGCUGCCUUGGAGCCCUUUUCACAGGGUGCUGGGAGGCAACCAGUCAUUCCAAGUCACCACGGUGUGCUCGGAGCACACUGCUUGCAGCAUUGCUUUUCUCUAGCUUGUGGUGACAGAAGCAGUUAUUAAAUGCUGAACCAUUGUGUCCUUUCUGCCAUAUACCUGGGACUGAAAGGCAAGAACUCCCCAGAUGAGAAGCUCAACACCCUUCACAAGAACUUGCAAUCUCCUUUUUCUUCCUCGCGGGACAUGGGAAAAUAUUUCACCUAUUGGUGGCAAUAAAAUAGCAGGUUAUUUAUGUGCAACGACAUACGGAACAGGACUGAAUGGUGGUGGUCUUCCUCUGUGUGAGCGGGUAAGCUGAACGCAGGGGCACCUGCAUUCUCUUUUCAGCUCUGUCCUUGACUUGCCGUAUGACCUUGACCACAUUUCUUCACUUCUCAGCUCUGUCCACCGAGUGCAACGAUUUCCAUAAAGCGCCGUGAAUGAAAAGCCCUAUGCUGCUGCUGGGUUUUUGAGGGCAGGCAGUUAACUGGUGACUACCGAGACCCCCCUUGUGAAUGCAGGUGGAACAGGACUAAGCAACCAAGUGUGAAGACUUUACUUUUACUUGUUUAAAAGUUUGCCAAGUGAUAAACAUCUGGGCUGAAUUUGUUGUGUUGCAGGUUGUUCCAGCUGGAAGUGGAUUGAUUUAGAUAUCUCUGGAGAAGUUCAACCAAAAGGAACAGAAAAAACUUGGGUUUAAGAAACAAGUAGUUGGUGAACAGUUUAAAAAAAAAAAAGUAAUGCUUGUUUCAUUCUGGGGUGUGGGGUUUUCUGGCUUUUACGCCUUUGUAUUUUGUUUGCCAAUGAGCGCACACUGAAGCUUGCCUCUGUGUUGAGGCAUUCAUAACUUUGCCCUCUGAAUGGGUUUUCUGGUGUCUAGUAAGGAAAGCUCAACUUUGUGAUCAAUGAAUAUGAUUCACCUAUACCUGCUUGCUUGAAACUUGGAGGAAUUUGGAAUCUUUGAGACCUUCAGGUUUCUCAAAUGUGGCGGAACUUAAGCUGAUGAGCAUAAAAAAAAAUAUUGGGGAAGGGUCUGGGGAACAAAGGGGGGACAUUCAGUCCCAGUAUGAUCCCAUCAUUAAGAAUCUAGUCUGAGAAUAUUUUGGCUUGCUGAAACAUUUUGGCUUGCUUCAAGCAUUGCCGGCCAUUCUUACUCAUACAGCUCUUGUGCCUCUUUGCUAGACUAGGAAUUUGCUAGUGAGGUGCCUUGUGCCUGAGGUUUGGGGGUUUUUUGCAUUUCCAUUGAAAAUUUCCUUAAACUUAACGAUGUUCUGAGCCUUGGUGCAAACGGUGGUUUUUUUCAGUCUGACCUCAGCUUUUCUGAAUGACAUCUCCAAACAGCUCGUUCUUCCAGACCGCACUCGGGUCUGGGCAUGUACGCUACCCCAGAGAAGGACCACGUGCGUGUCAGUGUGUUCACGAGGCUGCUCCAGGUGUGGGGAAGCCAGGAACCGGCGUCUCUGGGUGCAGGCAGCCAGCAGCUGCCUCUCUGCUCAAAGGCAAAGCAGCUAAGCUGGCCCUGCUGUGAUAGGAACAGACCCUGGUGCCUCACUUGUUUCAGAGCUGACGCUUACAGCGCUCCAAGAGCUUCGCUCCCAUCUAUGAGCAGCGAGUGGAUGUGUGCCUGGGGCUCUGGAAUUGCACUCUGAAAUGUUCUCCCUUCCACCUAAGCAGGUAUGUCUGUGUUUAGCGUGAGCACUGUUCCUUCUUUGUGUUACGGUGGACACAGCCCAGCUCCAGCAGGGUGGCCAGCUCCGGGCAGCAGUGUCCUCGGUGGUACAUCCUGCUUUAACAAGGAUAUAAUCGUUUAUCACAGAGUUGCAAGUUCCUCUCUGGUUUAGCUGGGUGAUUGCAGGGUUUGGGGUGAAGACCCCUGCACAGGCUGCACUGCCCUGCUGUAGGAGUACAUCCCCCCCGUCCCUGUAAUUGCAGACCCCAGCUCUGCAGCCCUGGCUCAGCUGGAAUCCACUGGGACAGAACAGGUCGAUGAGCAUUCUCCCACUGCGCCCCACGCAGCAGCGCCGUGUUUGCACGUUACGCUGCAUUUGCCGGGUGAUCCUUUCUCCCAUAGGCCUGCGAAGACUUGCGUGAAUGAGCUUGCAUUGCUCGCUCUGUUUUGGUAUAAACUUUGCUUUAAAGCGUCAGGCCCCACUGAUGGGGACAUCCGAUUGUUCAGAUGCAUCUGUUCGGCUGCUGGCGUUAGGGCUCUGCGUGGGUCAGUCACUCGGGGAAGAAGCUCUUCUCCUUGAAGGAGGUCUCUGUGCUAAGAGCUGGCAAGAGGAGAGCUGGAUGGGUCCAGCCAAAGGUGCUGGAAGAGACUUUGCUCUGAAUUGCCUAUUGAUUCCUUCUUGCUGAAUGACAGGGUUCUUCCCCAGUCUGGAAAAGGAAAUGUUUGCAUUCCUGACAAAUGAAAGUGUUUGUGGUUUUGUUUUUUUUUUUUCCCCUUUGGCUGCUUUUUCUUUGGCUUACCCUUUAAUUAAUUCCAGCAUCUGGACAAGCGUCAUUAGCAAAAUUUCUCUGUGUGCAGCGACUCUCUCUGUUUUUAAGGGACUGUACAUCUCGGUGCAGACCAUUAUUGCAGGAACCUCUGGUGGAGCUGAAGGACCCUUGGUUCCAGGGUCAUGAUGGGAACAAGGUUCUUCCAUCACUGGAGCAGCAGGAGCGUGACCCAGGCCCGCCCCAGCCAACAUCCCAGGCUGCAGAGACCAUCCCAUCUCACCUACGUGGCAAUGAAAUGAGCAGAGCCGGGCAGCCCCGAAGCACAGCUGCACAGGCUGGCAUAUCCAUCCAGGAAAAAAACCAACUGACCAGCCCUGUGGCGGGAGCUUGCACCCCUGCGUGGAGGCUGGAGCUCUCCCCAGCAUAAAGAUGAAGGCAACACAGCAUCGUGAGAAAUGGCCACUCUCUGCUUCUUCCCGAGCUGAUGGUGCUCUCGGUGUUCACAGCUGCCUUUUAUCUGAGAGGUCGAGGUUCUGCAGAGGUAUAAAUCUUUAAGCAUCUGCAGUGUGACUCACUCCUUUCCUCAGGCAGCCUUGGUGUUUAACCCAGUAAGAAAGAUGGGGGCCACAAAGGAGGAUUUAUUGCCUUGUUCCAGCUUAGUGCCUCUCUGGAGAAGCCUUCUGGUGCAUAUAAGCUGGCAGGUGAAAGGAGUCACCCUGAAGAAAAGAUAGCUGGAAAAGGAGGCCAGGAUGGAAAGACCUGGAGGUCAGCGUUGGUAACAUGCUGAGCCGGGCUUGUCCUUCUCUACCAUCUUCAUUCUCCUCCGAAAGGCAAGGAGUGUAAGGUCGUGGGUCUCCCUUAGGGUAAGAAGUGAGGGCACAAGCCCUCCUUGGCCCCACACCACGAUGCAUUUGGUGGGGAGCUCAGCCCUCUCGCCCAAUGGCAGCAGCCACCUGGGGGGCCCACAGGAGUUGAGCAGAUGGGGCUCACCCCACCUCAGUUGGGCAUUAGGCAGCCCCUUCUCUGAUCCUGAAAUGUGAGCACCAGGAAACGGCCAGAGCAAGCUGUGCCCAGGGGCUGUGCCCACUCUGGGACACCGGGGCCCUUGGCUGCCUUCUCCACGUGUGCCUACGGGGUCACUGCCCA